GAGUUUGAUCGUGGCUCAGGAUGAACGCUGGCGGCGUGCCUAAUACAUGCAAGUCGAGCGAACGGACGAGAAGCUUGCUUCUCUGAUGUUAGCGGCGGACGGGUGAGUAACACGUGGAUAACCUACCUAUAAGACUGGGAUAACUUCGGGAAACCGGAGCUAAUACCGGAUAAUAUUUUGAACCGCAUGGUUCAAAAGUGAAAGACGGUCUUGCUGUCACUUAUAGAUGGAUCCGCGCUGCAUUAGCUAGUUGGUAAGGUAACGGCUUACCAAGGCAACGAUGCAUAGCCGGCCUGAGAGGGUGAUCGGCACACUGGAACUGAGACACGGUCCAGACUCCUACGGGAGGCAGCAGUAGGGAAUCUUCCGCAAUGGGCGAAAGACCUGACGGAGCAACGCCGCGUGAGUGAUGAAGGUCUUCGGAUCGUAAAACUCUGUUAUUAGGGAAGAACAUAUGUGUAAGUAACUGUGCACAUCUUGACGGUACCUAAUCAGAAAGCCACGGCUAACUACGUAC
rnacentral:rRNA from 1 species